GACGAACGCUGGCGGCGUGCCUAAUACAUGCAAGUCGUGCGGACCCUGUUGAAAGCUUGCUUUUAAAAGGUUAGCGGCGGACGGGGGAGGAACACGAGGGCAACCUGUCCGUAAGACUGGGAUAACGCCGGGAAACCGGGGCGAAAACAAGACCGUUUUUUUCCCCGCAUGGAGGAAAAAGCAAAGGCGCUUGCGCCUGCCACUUACAGAUGGGCGGGUGGCGCAUUUGGCAGUUGGCGGGGUAACGGCCCACCAAGGCAACGGUGCGUAUGCGACCUGGGAGGGUGGUCGGCCACAUUGGGACUUGGACACGGCCCAAGCCUCUUCGGGGAGCAGCAGUAGGGGAUCUUCCGCAAUGGGCGGAAGGCUGACGGAGCAACGCCGCGUGAGUGGAGAAGGCCUUCGGGUCGGAAAACUCUGUUGCCGGGGAAGAACAAGUGCCGUUCGAACAGGGCGGCGCCUUGACGGUACCCGGACAGAAAGCCACGGCUAACUACGUG
rnacentral:rRNA from 1 species